CGGACACUUAUAUUCCAUAUGAAUAUUGUAUUAUUAAACUCCACAAAUCUCCGUCUCUCUCUCUCUCUCUAGAAUAUACCUACAUCCAAACAAAAUGGUCCCAAAAGGGCAACUUAAAGAUCCGAACAUGUUAUUCUUGUAGGCUUUCAUUCAAUGCAGUACUUCCCAAUAAUCUUUAAAUUAACUCUAUAUGAUCAAUAAACUGAGGUCUAAUAUGCAUGUGGACCUGCAUUUCCAUAAAUGCAUCUGAUGCAAUCCACUCUGGGGAUUUGCUCAAGUGACCUACCUUGAACAUGCACACUAUUUUAAGGCUCCACCUGUUACUUAAUUCGACGAUCAUCUUAUCGGAACCAGAAAGAAGAUUAUAUUAGAGCUUUCAAGAGAAGAUUAGAGCUC